UACGAGGGGAGCAAGCGUUGUUCGGAUUUACUGGGCGUAAAGGGCGCGUAGGCGGCCACGACAAGUCACUUGUGAAAUCUCCGGGCUUAACUCGGAACGGUCAAGUGAUACUGUCGGGCUUGAGUGCGGAAGAGGCGAGUGGAAUUCCCGGUGUAGCGGUGAAAUGCGCAGAUAUCGGGAGGAACACCAAUGGCGAAGGCAGCUCGCUGGGACGUGACUGACGCUGAGACGCGAAAGCGUGGGGAGCAAACAGG
rnacentral:rRNA from 1 species